UACGUAGGGUGCGAGCGUUGUCCGGAAUUACUGGGCGUAAAGAGCUCGUAGGUGGUUUGUCGCGUUGUUCGUGAAAACUCACAGCUUAACUGUGGGCGUGCGGGCGAUACGGGCAUCACUGGAGUUCGGCAGGGGAGACUGGAAUUCCUGGUGUAGCGGUGAAAUGCGCAGAUAUCAGGAAGAACACCCGUGGCUAAGGCGGCUCUCUAGUACGGUACUGACGCUGAGACGCGAAAGCGUGGGGAGCGAACAGG
rnacentral:rRNA from 1 species